GGUGAACGCUGGCGGCGUGCCUUACACAUGCAAGUCGAACGAGAAGCAUUCGUGGAACCUUUCGGGGUGAAGGGAGUGUGGAAAGUGGCGAACGAGUGAGUAACACGUAGAAACCUGCCCAUCGGAGGGGGAGAACAACUGGAAACGGUUGCUAAUACCGCAUAAGAUCGAGAGAUGAAAGCCUUAGGGUGCCGAUGGAGGGGUCUGCGGGCCAUCAGGUAGUUGGUGAGAUAACAGCUCACCAAGCCGACGACGGCUAUCUGGCGUGAGAGCGUGAUCAGACACGAGGACACUGAGAUACGGGUCCUACUCCUACGGGAGGCAGCAGUGGGGAAUAUUGGACAAUGGGGGAAACCCUGAUCCAGCAACGCCGCGUGAAUGAAGAAGUCCUUCGGGAUGUAAAGUUCUUUUAAAAUGGGUAAGAAGAAAGUGACGGUACCAUAGGAAUAAGCCCCGGCUAACUACGUGCCAGCAGCCGCGGUAAU
rnacentral:rRNA from 1 species